GCUGGAUGUUGUGAAGAGGGCGGUGUAAUGAAGAGGGGGUAAGGGGUAAUCGGAAUUAGUGGGCGUAAAGCGCGCGUAGGUGGGUGUGUAAGGUGGGUGUGAAAGCCCCGGGCUCAACCUGGGAACUGCAUCCAAAACUGGCAAGCUAGAGUACGGUAGAGGGUGGUGGAAUUUCCUGGGUAGCGGUGAAAUGCGUAGAUAUAGGAAGGAACACCAGUGGCGAAGGCGACCACCUGGACUGAUACUGACACUGAGGUGCGAAAGCGUGGGGAGCAAACAGGAUUAGAUACCCCAGUAGUC
rnacentral:rRNA from 1 species